UCGAACGAUGAAGCCUAGCUUGCUAGGUGGAUUAGUGGCGAACGGGUGAGUAAUACGUGAGUGACCUACCUUUGACUCUGGGAUAAGCCUGGGAAACUGGGUCUAAUACCGGAUACGACCAAUCUCCGCAUGGGGUGUUGGUGGAAAGCGUUAUGGAGUGGUUUUAGAUGGGCUCACGGCCUAUCAGCUUGUUGGUGAGGUAAUGGCUUACCAAGGCGACGACGGGUAGCCGGCCUGAGAGGGUGACCGGCCACACUGGGACUGAGACACGGCCCAGACUCCUACGGGAGGCAGCAGUGGGGAAUAUUGCACAAUGGGCGCAAGCCUGAUGCAGCGACGCCGCGUGAGGGAUGACGGCCUUCGGGUUGUAAACCUCUGUUAGCAUCGAAGAAGCGAAAGUGAUGGUAGGUGCAGAGAAAGCGCCGGCUAACUACGUGCCAGCAGCCGCGGUAAUACGUAGGGCGCGAGCGUUGUCCGGAAUUAUUGGGCGUAAAGAGCUUGUAGGCGGUUGGUCGCGUCUGCUGUGAAAGGCUGGGGCUUAACCCUGGUUUUGCAGUGGGUACGGGCUAACUAGAGUGCAGUAGGGGAGACUGGAAUUCCUGGUGUAGCGGUGGAAUGCGCAGAUAUCAGGAGGAACACCGAUGGCGAAGGCAGGUCUCUGGGCUGUAACUGACGCUGAGAAGCGAAAGCAUGGGGAGCGAACAGGAUU
rnacentral:rRNA from 1 species